ACAGGCCAGCGAUCUGCUUCUGAAAGGUCACAGCCUUGACAACCCCAUGAAUCACAGUUCUACUCUGCACACAUGGGGUCACCAUGAGUCGGAGUCAGCUUGGCGGCAACUAACAACAGGGAGAUUUCUGCCAGACUUAAUAAAGACAGAAGCGGAUCAAAACAAUGAAAAAAUGCCUCACUAGUGAGAGAAAAGGAGUCCCUGGGUAGCACAAAAAGUUAGUAACAUGCUGGACUGCUUACAGCAAGGCUGGAGGUUCGAAUCCACUCAGGCUCCUUGGAAGACUCUGGAAGAAGGGCCAGGUGAUGCACUUCUGAAAAAUGAGCUGCUGAAAACCCUAUGGAGCAGUUCUCCUCUGGCACACAGGGGUCACCAUGCAUCAGAAUCAACUUGAUGGCAUCUCAGGUGAGUGGGAGAAAUAACAAAUGGUUUAGCUCAGUGGUUCUCAACCCUGGGUAGCUUUUUUAAUGCUGAUGUCCCAGCCCCAGAGAUUCUGAUUUUACUGGCCUGGGUAGGACCUGAGCAUGGAUAUUUUAAAAAGCUGCAUAGGUGAUUCUAAGCAGCCGAGGCUGAGAACCGUUGGAUUGGACACCAUACUCUUUUUAAAAGACAUUUCAUUCUCAAGUUUAUUUCUAAUUAACUGGCAGACUUUUGACUUAAAUCACCAAAUAUUAAACUACCAUUUUAUUUUUCAAAUUGGUUAUGCAGCAGGUUUCAAGCAAAAAUGAAUAAACAUCCUGUGUAUGGACAGUGUUGUUAAGCCAGCUGACCAUUUAAAAUUGAAACAGGUAACUUUUAUAAAAACCUCAUCAUCGUAAUCGUGCUUCCUAAACCACAGAACAGUCCUGUCUUCAGCAAUGAUCUGACAAUGUGAACAAAUUUGAGAACAGAGCUAUUUUAAUCACUGAAAAAGCAAGCUCAGUAUGUUUCAAAUUCUUUAUUGUACAUCAUGGCUGCACAAUUUGAGGCUGGUUAAAUACAACUGAUUUUCAAAAUUUCUUUGAAUAUUUCUAGAUUACUACAUGCAAGUGACCAUGAAAA